CUAAUACUCCCUCUGUCCAACAAAAGAUGUCUCAAGUUUGUCAAAAUUUGGAUAUAUCUAGACAUGACUUAGUAUAUAGAUCCAUUCAAAUUUAGUCAAAGUUGAGACAUCCUUUGUUGGACGGAGGGAAUACAAC
rfam:Brachypodium distachyon strain Bd21 chromosome 5, whole genome shotgun sequence.